GUGCAGAAUGGAACUGCUGUUUCCUCAAUUCCAUCACAAUUCGAGUCAAAGCAUGUCCAGGGAACUAUUAUGUCUAUGAGUUUGUCAGACCAUACUACUGGUCUGCUUACUGUGCAGAUGUGAACACCAUCACUUCAACAAUCGCCAUAGCAACAGCGACGAGUGUUGUAUCAUCAAGUAUGAUAACUACGGACUCUCCAAAAAACCUCACUUUUGACCCCUGCAAUAACUACAGUGUGCUUAAUAACGAAUGGAGAAGAACAGACGUGGAGUUCUA